rnacentral:tRNA from 1 species
UAGCCUAGUGGUAAGGCUUUGGAUCGCCAAUCCGGAGAAGGCGGGUUCGAUUCCCGC